GAGUUUGAUCAUGGCUCAGGAUGAACGCUGGCGGUGCGCCUGACACAUGCAAGUUGAACGGAAGCGGUAAGCUUCAGUAGCGAACGGGUGCGUAACACGUGAGAACUUGCCCCAAGGAGGGGAACAACCUCCGGAAACGGGGGCUAAUACCCCAUAAGUUGAGCCAUGGCAGUGAGCUAGGGCGGGGGAGCUUUUCCCCCGAAACGAAAAGCGCAGAAUUUAAAAAUUCAUAGCGCCGCCUCGGGAUGGGCUCGCGGCUGAUUAGCUAGCUGGCAGGGUAACGGCCUACCAGGGCGACGAUCAGUAGCUGGCUUGAGAGAGCGGUCAGCCACACUGGGACUGAGAUACGGCCCAGACUCCUACGGGAGGCAGCAGUGGGGAAUCUUCCGCAAUGGGCGAGAAGCCUGACGGAGCGACACCGCGUGGGGGAAGAAGGACCGUGGUUCGUAAACUCCUUUUCUCGGGGACGACAUCAGACGGUACCCGGGGAAUAAGCGUCGGCUAACUCCGUGCCAGCAGCCGCGGUAAUACGGGGGAUGCGAGCGUUAUCCGGAAUUAUUGGGCGUAAAGCGCCUGCAGGUGGCCUGCCAAGUCCUCCGUCAAAGGCCGGGGCCUAACCCCGGAAAGGCGGCGAAAACUGCUAGGCUAGAGGGCGUGCUGGGGUAGAGGGAACUCCUAGUGUAGCGGUGAAAUGCGCAGAUAUUAGGAAGAACACCGGUGGCGAAGGCGCUCUACUGGGCCAGACCCUGACACUCAGAGGCGAAAGCUGGGGGAGCGAGACGGAUUAGGUACCCGUGUAGUCCCAGCCGUAAACGAUGGACACUAGGUGUCGAGUUCCCUAGGUCGUGUCUCGGCCGAGAUCCUUCGGCUGAUCCCAAGACUAGGGCUGCCUCGGUGUCGAAGCUAACGCGUUAAGUGUCCCGCCUGGGGAGUACGCCCGCAAGGGUGAAACUCAAAGGAAUUGACGGGGGCCCGCACAAGCGGUGGAGCAUGUGGUUUAAUUCGAUGCGACGCGAAGAACCUUACCAGGGCUUGCAUGUGGUAACCGUUAGAGCGUCAUCGCCUUUCCGGAGCCGGCUUCGCGGCCAUCCUGAAAGGUAGACUAAGCCGAAACGGGAAGAUGUCCAUACAGGUGGUGCAUGGCUGUCGUCAGCUCGUGUCGUGAGAUGUUGGGUUGAGUCCCGCAACGAGCGCAACCCUCGUUCUCAGUUACCUCAGGAAAGCGGGAAAGCCGCAACUGAAGACUGGGAAUACUGCCGGCGACAAGCCGGAGGAAGGUGAGGUCGACGUCAAGUCAUCAUGCCCCCGAUGCCCUGGGCCACACACGUGCUACAUUGGCCGAGACAAAAGGAGGCGCCCGAGUGGUCCCCAAAAUCCUCAAACCCGGUCCCAGUUCGGAUCGCGGGCUGCAACUCGCCCGCGUGAAGUAGGAAUCGCUAGUAAUCGCUGGUCAGCUACACAGCGGUGAAUACGUUCCCGGGCCUUGUACACACCGCCCGUCACACCAUGGAAGUUGGUCGCACCCGAAGGCGGGGUCCCGCUUACCUUGCGACAUUGCGAGGUAAAAAGGGGUGCCUCGACUAAGGCGAGAAGAGCAACCAGGGUGAAGUCGUAUCGGGGUAACC
rnacentral:rRNA from 1 species